rnacentral:rRNA from 1 species
CCAAUAGCGUAUAUUAAAGUUGUUGCAGUUAAAAAGCUCGUAGUUGAAUUUCAGGCCUGGCUGGACGGUCCGCCCUUCGGGUGAGUACUGUCUGUGGUCGGGUCCUACCUUCUGGCGAAGCGUCAUGGCCUUAACCGGCCGUGGCGGGGAACCAGGACUUUUACUGUGAAAAAAUUAGAGUGUUCAAAGCAGGCAAUCGCUUGGAUACAUUAGCAUGGAAUAAUGGAAUAGGACAUCCGAUUCUAUUUUGUUGGUUUCUAGGAUCGAUGUAAUGAUUAAUAGGGAUAGUUGGGGGCAUUAGUAUUCAAUUGUCAGAGGUGAAAUUCUUGGAUUUAUUGAAGACUAACUACUGCGAAAGCAUUUGCCAAGGAUGUUUUCAUUAAUCAAGAACGAAAGUUAGGGGAUCGAAGACGAUCAGAUACCGUCGUAGUCUUAACCAUAAACUAUGCCGACUAGGGAUCGGAUGAUGUUAAUUUUUUAAUGACUCAUUCGGCGCCUUACG